AGAGUUGAUCAUGGCUCAGGAUGAACGCUAGCGACAGGCUUAACACAUGCAAGUCGAGGGGCAGCACGGGAGUAGCAAUACUUGGUGGCGACCGGCGCACGGGUGAGUAACGCGUAUGCAACCUACCUAUCGAGAGGGGAAUAACCCGGCGAAAGUCGGACUAAUACCGCAUAAAACAGGGGCACCGCAUGGUGAUAUUGUUAAAGAAAUUCGCUGAUAGAUGGGCAUGCGUUCCAUUAGGUAGUUGGUGAGGUAACGGCUCACCAAGCCGACGAUGGAUAGGGGAACUGAGAGGUUGGUCCCCCACACUGGUACUGAGACACGGACCAGACUCCUACGGGAGGCAGCAGUGAGGAAUAUUGGUCAAUGGGCGGGAGCCUGAACCAGCCAAGUCGCGUGAAGGAAGAAGGAUCUAUGGUUCGUAAACUUCUUUUGCAGGGGAAUAAAGUGCAGGACGUGUCCUGUUUUGUAUGUACCCUGAGAAUAAGGAUCGGCUAACUCCGUGCCAGCCGCCGC
rnacentral:rRNA from 1 species